rnacentral:rRNA from 1 species
GACGGACGCUGGCGGCGUGCUUAACACAUGCAAGUCGAACGGAAAGGCCCUGCUUUUGUGGGGUGCUCGAGUGGCGAACGGGUGAGUAACACGUGAGUAACCUGCCCUUGACUUUGGGAUAACUUCAGGAAACUGGGGCUAAUACCGGAUAGGAGCUCCUGCUGCAUGGUGGGGGUUGGAAAGUUUCGGCGGUUGGGGAUGGACUCGCGGCUUAUCAGCUUGUUGGUGGGGUAGUGGCUUACCAAGGCUUUGACGGGUAGCCGGCCUGAGAGGGUGACCGGCCACAUUGGGACUGAGAUACGGCCCAGACGCCUACGGGAGGCAGCAGUGGGGAAUAUUGCACAAUGGGCGGAAGCCGGAUGAAGAAACGCCGCGUGCGGGAUGACGGCCUUCGGGCUGUAAACCGCUUUCGCCUGUGACGAAGCGGGAGUGACGGUAAUGGGUAAAGAAGCACCGGCUAACUACGUG